CCCGGCGGAGAAGCUGAGGUCAACACCAAAUUUGAAAUAUUUAAAGUGGAUACAAAACUGUUUCUGAAAUGCAGACAAUUAAGUGCGUCGUUGUGGGCGAUGGUGCUGUUGGUAAAACAUGUCUCCUGAUAUCCUACACAACAAACAAAUUUCCAUCUGAAUAUGUACCAACUGUUUUUGACAACUAUGCAGUCACAGUUAUGAUUGGUGGAGAGCCAUAUACUCUUGGACUUUUUGAUACUGCAGGGCAAGAGGAUUAUGACAGAUUACGACCACUGAGUUAUCCACAAACAGAUGUAUUUCUAGUCUGUUUUUCAGUGGUCUCUCCGUCUUCAUUUGAAAAUGUGAAAGAAAAGUGGGUGCCUGAGAUAACUCACCACUGUCCAAAGACUCCUUUCUUGCUUGUUGGAACCCAAAUUGAUCUCAGAGAUGACCCCUCUACAAUUGAGAAGCUUGCCAAGAACAAACAGAAGCCUAUCACUCCAGAGACUGCUGAAAAGCUGGCACGUGAUCUGAAGGCUGUCAAGUAGGUGGAAUGUUCUGCGCUCACACAGAAAGGCCUAAAGAAUGUGUUUGAUGAAGCAAUAUUGGCUGCCCUGGAACCUCCAGAACCGAAGAAGAGCCGCAGGUGUGUGCUGCUAUGAACAUCUCUUCAGAGCCCUUUCUGCACAGCUGGUGUCGGCAUCAUACUAAAAGCAAUGUUUAAAUCAAACUAAAGAUUAAAAAAAUUAAAAUUCGUUUCUGCAAUAAUGACAAAUGCCCUGCAUCUACCCACAUGCACUUGUGUGAGACAAGGUCCAUAGGUAUGCCCCCCCUUUGCCCUCCCAGUGCUAGUUAAUUUUGAUAAUUGUGUAUUGUCAGAAAAAUGAUCAGUACUAGUUUUUUGUUUUGUUUCAAAAUAUUUUUUUUCUUUUUUUUUGUUUAAAAGCGAAGCAUGCUUGUGAUGACUCUGUAACAGACUAAUUUGAAUUGUUGAAGCUGCUCCCUGGUUCCAUUUUAGACAGUAAUCUGGGACAUUUUAGUUUUUUUCUGUUUUGAUUUUUGUUUUUUCUUUUCUUUUUCUUCCCUUUCUUGGCGGGGGGGGAGUGUGUGUGGGGUUUGUUUUUUAGUCUUGUUUUUUUAAUUCAUUAACCAGUGGACACCCCUUAGGGGGAAGGAGGAUGGAUUAGUUCCACAUUCCACUUCAUAGAUCUAAUUUAGAAACUGUUCCCCACCUGGUGCUCUUAGGAAGGAGUAUAGUAAAUGCCUCAUUUAAUAACGUACUCCUUUUUGAAAGUUGCCUUUCCUCUCCACCCUUGAGUCGACCUAGUAUUUGAUGAUACUCAUAAAAGUGGGUGGAAGCUGUCUUGCCCCUCUUUUCUAGGACACACUCAAUAUGUGACUGUGACUUUCAAGGAAAUUUGUUUGCCAUUUUGCUGAUUUUUUUUUUAAGUAGUCUCUAACUUCACUGAUAAAUGAAAAAAAGUAUUGUAUCUUUUGAAGUACACCAAAUGGAUUGCAUUCAUACAGACUUAAAAUUUUUUUCCUUUGUUAGUCAUUGUCUUAUAUGCUUAGCAUAGAUUUGCAACUCAGUAGUGUGAUGUUCCUAGAACCCAGAUGAAGACCUGGCACAUAGAGAAACUGAGGGGUGGUGCUAGAAGACAGAUGACUACAGGAUGAGUGGCAUCCUUUCUGAUGAUGAGGAUGCGGGCCUGCUUCAUUGAGAAGCUGGGGGGUUGGGGGAGGGCAACAUCAACAUGGGGACCAGGUAGGGGAAUCCCUUUUUAUCUGUCUUGCAUUUGAGGAACCCUUGAGCAACCUGCUGAAACUCUAGUUUAAUAAAAAUCAUUGCAAGAGUCUUACUAAGAUUCUUUAUAAGUGUUAGUAGGGAUUUUAU